GAAGAAACAACAGGAACACAUAUAGCUGGAAUGCAGAUGGGAUCUGUGCUACUUACGCUAGCCAUGGGAUGAUUAGAACAAGAUAAGAGACAUGAGGAAGACUUCUUCAAGGAGGUGCUCAAGCCAUGUUUUGGAAAAGAGAACUCAAGGUCUGGCAGGGAGAAAGGAGCAAGGUCCUCUUCUCCCUGAAGGCUGUCACAGUUCCUGUGCAGAGAGAGAGGGCACUGCAGCACCCAGGCGCUGACUGCCUUUUGUCAGUCUCAUUUGCAGGCCCCCAGCUGGAGAACCCAGGAGGAAGAGGAAAAAAGUUUUUUCCUCCUCUACACUCCCCAUGCAUGACUAAAGAGUAGGAGGAGUCAGCAAGGCAGACAUAUAUAGUACCCAGGAGGUGGACAAACAACUGCCUUGGUGGAAACUCUGUCCUUUCUGGACUUAUCCUGGUGCCACUGAGACUGUGCAGGUCCCACACUUACAGGGAAAGCAUCACCCGAAAGUGAGAAUGCCUAGAGGCAGGAAUCAUGGAGGCUUCCUUAACCGUCUGUCUGCAACAGCAGGUGCUAGAGAUGACACUGCAGAGUAGAGAACAAAGGAAUCUUAGUAAUUGUUCAAUCCAAUCUCCACACUUUAAAGAUGAAGAAACUGGUAUUGAGAAAAAUACACAGCUUAUCCAAGGUUGCACUGCUGGUUGGUAGCUGAGAUGAAUUUAGAACCCACAUCUGAUGACUACACCAUAUUGCUCCCAGUUUUCCUGUCUGUUCCACAUGUAAAAGUCUGACUCUUCACUUCUCCUUUGAGUAUAUAGACU
rnacentral:lncRNA from 1 species